AUUGAACGCUGGCGGCAGGCCUAACACAUGCAAGUCGAGCGAGCGGCGGACGGGUGAGUAAUGUAUGGGGACUGCCCGAUAGAGGGGGAUAAAUACUGGGAACGGUAACUAAUACCUCAUACCAUCCGAUACACCAUCUGGUAUUAGCUAGUAGGUGAGGUAAUGGCUCACCUAGUCGACGAUCCCUAGCUGGUCUGAGAGGAUGAUCAGCCACACUGGGACUGAGACACGGCCCAGACUCCUACGGGGGCAGCAGUGGGGAAUAUUGCACAAUGGGCGCAAGCCUGAUGCAGCCAUGCCGCGUGUAUGAAGAAGGCCCUAGGGUUGUAAAGUACUUUCAGUCGGGAGGCGUUACCGACAGAAGAAGCACCGGCUAACUCCGUGCCAGCAGCCGCGGUAAUAC
rnacentral:rRNA from 1 species